AGAGUUUGAUCCUGGCUCAGAACGAACGCUGGCGGCAGGCUUAACACAUGCAAGUCGAAGGUGAAGCGGGGCUUCGGCCCCGUGGAAACUGGCGCACGGGUGAGUAACGCGUGGGAAUCUACCCCGGGGUGGGGAAUAACCGCUGGAAACGGCGGCUAAUACCGCAUACGCCUUGCGAGGGGAAGCUUUAGCGCCCUGGGACGAGCCCGCGUCGGAUUAGCUUGUUGGUGAGGUAACGGCUCACCAAGGCUUCGAUCCGUAGCUGGUCUGAGAGGAUGAUCAGCCACACUGGGACUGAGACACGGCCCAGACUCCUACGGGAGGCAGCAGUGGGGAAUAUUGGACAAUGGGGGCAACCCUGAUCCAGCCAUGCCGCGUGCGUGAAGAAGGCCCUAGGGUUGUAAAGCGCUUUCGGCGGGGAAGAUGAUGACGGUACCCGCAGAAGAAGCUCCGGCUAACUCCGUGCCAGCAGCCGCGGUAAUACGGAGGGGGCUAGCGUUGUUCGGAAUUACUGGGCGUAAAGGGCGCGUAGGCGGAUUGUCAAGUCAGAGGUGAAAGCCCUGGGCUCAACCUGGGAACUGCCUUUGAAACUAACGGUCUAGAGUCCGAGAGAGGAUGGCGGAAUUCCCAGUGUAGAGGUGAAAUUCGU
rnacentral:rRNA from 1 species